AGAGUUUGAUCAUGGCUCAGGACGAACGCUGGCGGCGUGCUUAAUACGUGCAAGUCGAGCGAGGUUACUGUUUUGGAUCCCUUCGGGGUGAAGAAGCUUUAACCUAGCGGCGGACGGGUGAGUAACGCGUGGGUAACCUACCCCAAAGUUCGGGAUAACAGCGGGAAACCGCUGCUAAUACCGGAUGUCUUUACCUUGGGGCAUCUUGAGGUAAAGAAAGGUAACGCUUUGGGAUGGGCCCGCGUCCCAUUAGCUAGUUGGUGAGGUAACGGCUCACCAAGGCGACGAUGGGUAGCCGGCCUGAGAGGGUGGACGGCCACACUGGGACUGAGACACGGCCCAGACUCCUACGGGAGGCAGCAGUAGGGAAUAUUGCGCAAUGGACGGAAGUCUGACGCAGCGACGCCGCGUGAGCGAUGAAGGCCUUCGGGUCGUAAAGCCCUGUCUGGGGGGAAGAUAGUGACGGUACCCCCGGAGGAAGCCCCGGCUAACUACGUGCCAGCAGCCGCGGUAAU
rnacentral:rRNA from 1 species